rnacentral:sRNA from 1 species
GCUGCUUGCCCUUAUCGGGCGUUUCCUCCCUAAACUCAGGCCGCUCAUGUAGCGGCCUUUCUUUUUGCCCGCU